CUUGAGAGGGUGACCGGCCACAUUGGGACUGAGACACGGCCCAGACUCCUACGGGAGGCAGCAGUUGGGGAAUAUUGCACAAUGGAGGAAACUCUGAUGCAGCGACGCCGCGUGAGUGAAGAAGUAAUUCGUUAUGUAAAGCUCUAUCAGCAGGGAAGAUAAUGACCGUACCUGACUAAGAAGCUCCGGCUAAAUACGUGCCAGC
rnacentral:rRNA from 1 species